UCCUUUGUGGCUCAGCUGGUAAAGAAUCCGCCUGUAAUGCGGGAGACCUGGGUUCAAUCCCUGGGUUGGGGAA
rfam:TPA: Bos taurus chromosome 11, whole genome shotgun sequence.